UACGAAGGGGGCUAGCGUUGUUCGGAAUCACUGGGCGUAAAGCGUACGUAGGCGGACCAUUAAGUCGGGGGUGAAAUCCCAGGGCUCAACCCUGGAACUGCCUUCGAUACUGGUGGUCUGGGGUCCGGGAGAGGUGAGUGGAACUCCUAGUGUAGAGGUGAAAUUCGUAGAUAUUAGGAAGAACACCAGAGGCGAAGGCGACGCCCUGGCUCGUACCUGACGCUCAGCCACGAAAGCAUGGGGAGCGAACGGG
rnacentral:rRNA from 1 species